CCACAUCACGAAAGUGGAUUGUACUAGAAGUCUGCAGGCUGACCCGCAAGGGAGGCAGCGGCCCAAGGUAUGAUACCAUGAUUGGGGUG
rnacentral:rRNA from 1 species